rnacentral:rRNA from 1 species
GAUGAACGCUGGCGGCGUGCCUAAUACAUGCAAGUCGAGCGAACGGACGAGAAGCUUGCUUCUCUGAUGUUAGCGGCGGACGGGUGAGUAACACGUGGAUCACCUACCUCUAAUACUGGGAUAACUUCGGGGAACCGGAGCUAAUACUGGAUCAUAUUUUGAACCGCAUGGUUCAAAAGUGAAAGACGGUCUUGCUGUCUCUUUUAGCUGGAUCCGCGCUGCAUUAGCUAGUUGGUAAGGUAACGGCUUACCAAGGCAACGAUGCAUAGCCGACCUGAGAGGGUGAUCGGCCACACUGGAACUGAGACACGGUCCAGACUCCUACGGGAGGCAGCAGUAGGGAAUCUUCCGCAAUGGGCGAAAGCCUGACGGAGCAACGCCGCGUGAGUGAUGAAGGUCUUCGGAUCGUAAAACUCUGUUAUUAGGGAAGAACAUAUGUGUAAGUAACUGUGCACAUCUUGACGGUACCUAAUCAGAAAGCCACGGCUAACUACGUG